rnacentral:rRNA from 1 species
UACGUAGGGUGCAAGCGUUAUCCGGAAUUAUUGGGCGUAAAGAGCUCGUAGGCGGUUUGUCGCGUCUGCUGUGAAAACCCGAGGCUCAACCUCGGGCCUGCAGUGGGUACGGGCAGACUAGAGUGCGGUAGGGGAGAUUGGAAUUCCUGGUGUAGCGGUGGAAUGCGCAGAUAUCAGGAGGAACACCGAUGGCGAAGGCAGAUCUCUGGGCCGUAACUGACGCUGAGGAGCGAAAGCGUGGGGAGCGAAUAGG